UACGGGGGGGGCUAGCGUUGUUCGGAAUUACUGGGCGUAAAGGGCGCGUAGGCGGUCUACUAAGUUGGAUGUGAAAACUCUGGGCUUAACCCAGAGCCUGCAUUCAAAACUGAUUAGGCUAGAGUUCUGGAGGGGAUAGCGGAAUUCCUGGUGUAGCGGUGAAAUGCGUAGAUAUCAGGAGGAACACCGGUGGCGAAGGCGGCUAUCGUGGACAGAAACUGACGCUGAGGCGACGAAAGCUAGGGGAGCAAACGG
rnacentral:rRNA from 1 species